UACAGAGGGGGCGAGCGUUGUUCGGAAUUACUGGGCGUAAAGGGCGCGUAGGCGGCCUUCUAAGUCGAACGUGAAAUCCCCGGGCUCAACCCGGGAACUGCGUCCGAUACUGGGAGGCUUGAAUCCGGGAGAGGGAUGUGGAAUUCCAGGUGUAGCGGUGAAAUGCGUAGAUAUCUGGAGGAACACCGGUGGCGAAGGCGGCAGCCUGGACCGGUAUUGACGCUGAGGCGCGAAAGCCAGGGGAGCGAACGGG
rnacentral:rRNA from 1 species